UAGGGAAUCUUCCGCAAUGGACGCAAGUCUGACGGAGCAACGCCGCGUGAGUGAAGAAGGAUUUCGGUUCGUAAAACUCUGUUGUUAGAGAAGAACAGCGCAUAGAGUAACUGUUAUGCGUGUGACGGUAUCUAACCAGAAAGCCACAGCUAACUACGUGCCAGCAGCCGCGGUAAUACGUAGGUGGCAAGCGUUGUCCGGAUUUAUUGGGCGUAAAGCGAGCGCAGGCGGUCAAUUAAGUCUGAUGUGAAAGCCCCCGGCUCAACCGGGGAGGGUCAUUGGAAACUGGUUGACUUGAGUGCAGAGGAGGAGAGUGGAAUUCCAUGUGUAGCGGUGAAAUGCGUAGAUAUAUGGAGGAACACCAGUGGCGAAGGCGACUCUCUGGUCUGUAACUGACGCUGAGGCUCGAAAGCGUGGGUAGCAAACAGG
rnacentral:rRNA from 1 species